GUACAGGCCGCAGGUGCUGACGAGUGGCGAACGGGUGAGUAAUGCAUCGGAACGUGCCCAGUCGUGGGGGAUAACGCAGCGAAAGCUGUGCUAAUACCGCAUACGAUCUAUGGAUGAAAGCGGGGGACCGUAAGGCCUCGCGCGAUUGGAGCGGCCGAUGUCAGAUUAGGUAGUUGGUGGGGUAAAGGCCCACCAAGCCAACGAUCUGUAGCUGGUCUGAGAGGACGACCAGCCACACUGGAACUGAGACACGGUCCAGACUCCUACGGGAGGCAGCAGUGGGGAAUUUUGGACAAUGGGCGCAAGCCUGAUCCAGCAAUGCCGCGUGCAGGAAGAAGGCCUUCGGGUUGUAAACUGCUUUUGUACGGAACGAAACGGUCUGGGUUAAUACCCUGGGCUAAUGACGGUACCGUAAGAAUAAGCACCGGCUAACUACGUGCCAGCAGCCGCGGUAAUACGUAGGGUGCAAGCGUUAAUCGGAAUUACUGGGCGUAAAGCGUGCGCAGGCGGUUUUGUAAGACAGUCGUGAAAUCCCCGGGCUCAACCUGGGAAUUGCGAUUGUGACUGCAAAGCUGGAGUGCGGCAGANGGGGGAUGGAAAUUCCGCGUGUANCAGUGAAAUGCNUAUAUAUGCGGAAGAACACCGAUGGCGAAGCNAUCCCCUGGGCCNGCACUGACGCUCAUG
rnacentral:rRNA from 1 species